rnacentral:rRNA from 1 species
AAACCUUACUAGAGUAAGACACUAGAAUGAUUGACAGAUUGGUUGAUCUUUCUUGAUUUGGUGGGUGGUGGUGCAUGGCCGAUCUUAGUUGGUGGGGUGACCCGUCUAGUUAAUUUCGAUAACGAACGAGAUCCGAGCUAUUAAGUUGGCAGCAUAUGUUCGUCAUUGUAUGUCUUUUUAAUGGACUCUCAGCGUGAAGUUGAGGGAAGUUUCGGGCUAAAU